GUCUAUGGCCAUGCUACCCUGAACAGUUCCGAUCCCGUCUGAUCUCCGAAACUAAGCAGGGUCGUUCCUGGUAAGUAUUUGGAUGGGAGACCACCUAGGAAGACCAGAUCCUGUAGGCA
rnacentral:rRNA from 1 species